rnacentral:rRNA from 1 species
GCUUAACACAUGCAAGUCGAGGGGCAGCACAGGUAGCAAUACUGGGUGGCGACCGGCGCACGGGUGAGUAACGCGUAUGCAACUUACCUAUCAGAGGGGGAUAACCCGGCGAAAGUCGGACUAAUACCGCAUGAAGCAGGGGCCCCGCAUGGGGAUAUUUGCUAAAGAUUCAUCGCUGAUAGAUAGGCAUGCGUUCCAUUAGGCAGUUGGCGGGGUAACGGCCCACCAAACCGACGAUGGAUAGGGGUUCUGAGAGGAAGGUCCCCCACAUUGGUACUGAGACACGGACCAAACUCCUACGGGAGGCAGCAGUGAGGAAUAUUGGUCAAUGGCCGAGAGGCUGAACCAGCCAAGUCGCGUGAGGGAUGAAGGUUCUAUGGAUCGUAAACCUCUUUUAUAAGGGAAUAAAGUGCGGGACGUGUCCCGUUUUGUAUGUACCUUAUGAAUAAGGAUCGGCUAACUCCGUGCCAGCAGCCGCGGUAAUACGGAGGAUCCGAGCGUUAUCCGGAUUUAUUGGGUUUAAAGGGUGCGUAGGCGGCCUUUUAAGUCAGCGGUGAAAGUCUGUGGCUCAACCAUAGAAUUGCCGUUGAAACUGGGGGGCUUGAGUAUGUUUGAGGCAGGCGGAAUGCGUGGUGUAGCGGUGAAAUGCAUAGAUAUCACGCAGAACCCCGAUUGCGAAGGCAGCCUGCCAAGCCAUGACUGACGCUGAUGCACGAAAGCGUGGGGAUCAAACAGGAUUAGAUACCCUGGUAGUCCACGCAGUAAACGAUGAUCACUAGCUGUUUGCGAUACACAGUAAGCGGCACAGCGAAAGCGUUAAGUGAUCCACCUGGGGAGUACGCCGGCAACGGUGAAACUCAAAGGAAUUGACGGGGGCCCGCACAAGCGGAGGAACAUGUGGUUUAAUUCGAUGAUACGCGAGGAACCUUACCCGGGUUUGAACGCAUUCGGACCGAGGUGGAAACACCUUUUCUAGCAAUAGCCGUUUGCGAGGUGCUGCAUGGUUGUCGUCAGCUCGUGCCGUGAGGUGUCGGCUUAAGUGCCAUAACGAGCGCAACCCUUGCCACUAGUUACUAACAGGUAAAGCUGAGGACUCUGGUGGGACUGCCAGCGUAAGCUGCGAGGAAGGCGGGGAUGACGUCAAAUCAGCACGGCCCUUACAUCCGGGGCGACACACGUGUUACAAUGGCGUGGACAAAGGGAGGCCACCUGGCGACAGGGAGCGAAUCCCCAAACCACGUCUCAGUUCGGAUCGGAGUCUGCAACCCGACUCCGUGAAGCUGGAUUCGCUAGUAAUCGCGCAUCAGCCAUGGCGCGGUGAAUACGUUCCCGGGCCUUGUACACACCGCCCGUCAAGCCAUGGGAGCCGGGGGUACCUGAAGUCCGUAACCGCGAGGAUCGGUCUAGGGUAAAACUGGUGACUGGGGCUAAGUCAUAACA